CCUACGGGAGGCAGCAGUGAGGAAUAUUGGUCAAUGGGCGGAAGCCUGAACCAGCCAAGUAGCGUGCAGGAUGACGGCCCUACGGGUUGUAAACUGCUUUUAUACGGGAAUAACGCGCCUUACGUGUAGGGCUUUGCAUGUACCGUAUGAAUAAGGACCGGCUAAUUCCGUGCCAGCAGCCGCGGUAAUACGGAAGGUCCGGGCGUUAUCCGGAUUUAUUGGGUUUAAAGGGUGCGCAGGCGGCCUGUUAAGUCAGCGGUAAAAGCCCGGGGCUCAACCCCGGCGAGCCGUUGAAACUGGCGGGCUGGAGUUGGAGAGAAGUACGCGGAAUGCGCGGUGUAGCGGUGAAAUGCUUAGAUAUCAUACAGAACACCGAUUGCGAAGGCAGCUUACCAAGCUACUUCUGACGUUGAGGCACGAAAGCGUGGGGAGCAAACAGGAUUAGAUACCCGAGUAGUC
rnacentral:rRNA from 1 species